AGAACGAACGCUGGCGGCAUGCCUAACACAUGCAAGUCGAACGAGACCCCAACUUCGGUUGGACGUCUAGUGGCGCACGGGUGCGUAACGCGUGGGAAUCUGCCCUUCGGUUCGGAAUAACUCGGAGAAAUCCGUGCUAAUACCGGAUAAUGACGUAAGUCCAAAGAUUUAUCGCCGAGGGAUGAGCCCGCGUAGGAUUAGCUUGUUGGUGAGGUAAAGGCUCACCAAGGCGACGAUCCUUAGCUGGUCUGAGAGGAUGAUCAGCCACACGUGGACUGAGACACGGUCCCAGACUACCGUACGGGAGGCAGCGAGGUAGGGGAAUACUUGGACAAGUGGGCGAAACGCCUGAU
rnacentral:rRNA from 1 species